AGUCAUUCAGGGUAGGUGGGGCAGUUGAGUGUCAGUGGCCACUAGUCAUUCAGGGUAGGUGGGGCAGUUGAGUGUCAGUGGCCACUAGUCAUUCAGGGUAGGUGGGGCAGUUGAGUGUCAGUGGCCACUAGUCAUUCAGGGUAGGUGGGGCAGUUGAGUGUCAGUGGCCACUAGUCAUUCAGGGUAGGUGGGGCAGUUGAGUGUCAGUGGCCACUAGUCAUUCAGGGUAGGUGGGGCAGUUGAGUGUCAGUGGCCACUAGUCAUUCAGGGUAGGUGGGGCAGUUGAGUGUCAGUGGCCACUAGUCAUUCAGGGUAGGUGGGGCAGUUGAGUGUCAGUGGCCACUAGUCAUUCAGGGUAGGUGGGGCAGUUGAGUGUCAGUGGCCACUAGUCAUUCAGGGUAGGUGGGGCAGUUGAGUGUCAGUGGCCACUAGUCAUUCAGGGUAGGUGGGGCAGUUGAGUGUCAGUGGCCACUAGUCAUUCAGGGUAGGUGGGGCAGUUGAGUGUCAGUGGCCA